UACGAGAGCCUCGAGCGUUAUCCGGAAUUAUUGGGCGUAAAGGGUGCGUAGGUUGUUUUGUUAGUCUUUUGUUAAACCCCGGGGCUUAACCUCGGGCGUGCGAAAGAAACGGCAAGACUUGAAAGUGUGAGAGGCGUACGGAACUCAUGGUGUAGGGGUGAAAUCCGUUGAUAUCAUGGGGAACACCAAAUGCGAAGGCAGUACGCUGGCGCAUAUUUGACACUGAAGCACGAAAGCGUGGGUAGCGAAUGGG
rnacentral:rRNA from 1 species